AUUGAACGCUGGCGGCAGGCCUAACACAUGCAAGUCGAACGGUAACAGGAAACAGCUUGCUGUUUCGCUGACGAGUGGCGGACGGGUGAGUAAUGUCUGGGAAACUGCCUGAUGGAGGGGGAUAACUACUGGAAACGGUAGCUAAUACCGCAUAACGUCGCAAAACCAAAGAGGGGGACCCUCGGGCCUCUUGCCAUCGG
rnacentral:rRNA from 1 species